GUACAAAAUACAUUCAAAACAGUUACCCCAAGAGUCUCCACUUUCUCGUUAGAUUCUAACCGUCAAUUGGAUGUUACCGGUCACUACCAACCGUCCUUCUAUCUUGACUUUUGUGCUGGUUGAGGGUCUCAUGUAGCCCAGGCUGACAAACUCCUGACCUUCUUACCGAUAUCUACCUUCUGAGUGCUGAGAGUAAGCCGCCCUGCCCACCUUAUUCCCACAACUCGAACUGAAAUAAAUGAAAAAAAUGUGUCAUUAUGAAGCUUAAUUUGCUGCAAGCAUCAGGAUAAUAGAAUGUAAAACAUAAGCUUUGGAGUCAGGACCCUCAAAAUCAGUGUCCACUUCCUCCAUGAAGAGCGCUUCAUUGUGUCUCUCCUCUGCUUUCUCUGGUUAACAACUUUCGUCCUAUUCCUGCUCUGAGGCAGCUGAUAUGGAGGAUGCAAACCCAUGUAAGACUCUCCAACAAAUGUUUCUGCCACACUCAAGACAAAUAUUCAUCUAUACCAGUAUGGCUUCUCUGAUGGGUUAUGUGACUUCCUGUCAAGACAUCCGUGAGGUUUCCGAUGCAUGAGAGCUAAGAUCCAGACCUUUUUCACUCCCAUUACAGAUGUAGUCUUCACCAAUGUGUACUGUCUGAUGCUGAAGAAGGGCUGAGCUACGAU